UUUAAUAUCAUUUCAACAGGAAAUUGUUUUUGAGAAAUACAAAAGGAGCACCAAAUUGGCAACAACAAUUCAUUGUUGAAUUUAUCUUCAUUUCCGUCAUACUUAAGUCAAUUACUACUAAUACACAACACCCAAUAAGAAAAACAAAUUAUUAGUGUUUUCUUAAUUCUUUCUUUUUCAUUUAUUUACUGGAGUGCGAAAUUUACCUCAAAGAGCUGAACUACUAUCAAUUCUUCUUCUUCUUCUUCUUCUUCUUCUACUUCUUCUUGGCAGAGUGAUUAGAUGUCUUAACACUGUUCAAAUUAACACUUUGAUAUGAUUUUUUCUCCAUCAAACUUUUUGACCAUUACUUUAAUAUUUUCUUCCAAAAUCACUAAUACAAUGUAUAAACCAAAUUAAUAUCUUAACUUCCAUUCCCACUCAAAAAGUGUCUAUAAUAUAAUAUAGAAUGGAAGGAUUAGUUAAUAUCAUAUUUGUCAUAGUUUACUUCCACUGACCAAUAUAUAAAAUCUUUUUGAUGGAGAAAUUAGAAUUGUCAGUAUAAAGCUGACCAGUAUAGAGAAUAAAUUAGUAACAAAAUGACAAUUGGCAACAACAAUAAGUAAUAGGUUGAUUUAACAGCUUAAGAACAGCCAGAUCAUAUGCUGGAUCAACACCUACGAUCUUCGCUUCCUUAGCUACGCUUUCUACCAAAUGGUUCUGCUAUUAAAUUAAUUAGAACUAAUAAGCUUACCAAUUAUAUUACUAUAGAUGAUAAGACAAAAAAUGAUGCUUUGAAGUCUUUGUCUUGCUGAAGUUCAAAGAGCUGAACAACUCUUAUCUUCAUCUUGCUUAAGUUCAUAAACUCUGAAAUUAAAGCACAGUAGCAGAGUUAGACGAAUAAACAAAAGAGGAAACAAAGAGAAGACGUAACAAUUAAAGCUU
rnacentral:lncRNA from 1 species